GAACAUUUGCAAUCUCUGAAACCAAAAACCAAAUUUCUCAAUCCUGGAUCCGUAAUCAACUCUCCAGACAGUCAAAUGAUCAAGCAGUGCUGAGUCAGCUGAGUAUUUCUGGAUUAGUGCAUACUGGGACACUGGAGAAGGGACUUUUUUUUUCUAGUGGUAUAGCAUAAUCUUUGGAUUUGAGUAAGAGGGGACUCGUCUAAAAGUACCUGUGAAAUUCUGCCAUCAUCUGGUAAUGAGUGCGAGAAAAUACCCCUUACUAGGUGGCGCUGCUUGACAAGAUCUCUCCGGCUUCUCCAGUUCGGUCCAGUUUUUGCUGCUUGAGGUCUGCAGUGAGUUCGUCUAAACGAAUGUCUUCUUGUUAAUGAAAUGCUGCAUUCCGUGUUGUCACGACGCUCGCCUUCUGAAGCUCCCCAAUGAUUUAUCUUCACGACUCCUGUUAAGGCAGGUAGAAGCUCAACCUGUCAUACAGACGAUAUAAACGCAAACAUUAUACCACACGUGUAGCAUGUAGACUUUCUUACACUUCUGUGGAACGAAAAAUA